AGAUUGAACGCUGGCGGCAGGCCUAACACAUGCAAGUCGAGCGGUAGAGAGGUGCUUGCAUCUCUUGAGAGCGGCGGACGGGUGAGUAAUGCCUAGGAAUCUGCCUAGUGGUGGGGGAUAACGUUCGGAAACGGACGCUAAUACCGCAUACGUCCUACGGGAGAAAGCGGGGGACCUUCGGGCCUCGCGCCAUUAGAUGAGCCUAGGUCGGAUUAGCUAGUUGGUGAGGUAAUGGCUCACCAAGGCGACGAUCCGUAACUGGUCUGAGAGGAUGAUCAGUCACACUGGAACUGAGACACGGUCCAGACCUCCGUACGGGAGCAGCGAGG
rnacentral:rRNA from 1 species